rnacentral:rRNA from 1 species
GAAGGCAGCCUCNUGGGAUAACACUGACGCUCAUGCACGAAAGCGUGGGGAGCAAACAGGAUUAGAUACCCUGNUAGUCCACGCCCUAAACGAUGUCUACUAGUUGUCGGGGAUUAAUUUCCUUGGUAACGCAGCUAACGCGUGAAGUAGACCGCCUGGGGAGUACGGUCGCAAGAUUAAAACUCAAAGGAAUUGACGGGGACCCGCACAAGCGGUGGAUGAUGUGGAUUAAUUCGAUGCAACGCGAAAAACCUUACCUACGCUUGACAUGUCCGGAACCCUGAAGAGAUUUGGGGGUGCUCGAAAGAGANNNNNAANACAGGUGCUGCAUGGCUGUCGUCAGCUCGUGUCGUGAGAUGUUNNNNNNNNNNNNNNNACGAGCGCAACCCUUAUCAUUAGUUGCUACGCAAGGGCACUCUAAUGAGACUGCCGGUGACAAACCGGAGGAAGGUGGGGAUGACGUCAAGUCCUCAUGGCCCUUAUGUGUAGGGCUUCACACGUCAUACAAUGGUCGGUACAGAGGGUUGCGAAGCCGCGAGGUGGAGCCAAUCCCAAAAAACCGAUCGUAGUCCGGAUUGCAGUCUG